UACGGAGGGUGCGAGCGUUGUCCGGAAUCACUGGGCGUAAAGGGCGCGUAGGCGGCGGGGUAAGCGUGCGGUGAAAGCUCGGGGCUCAACCCCGAGUCGGCCGUGCGAACUGCCUUGCUUGAGCACUGUAGAGACAGGUGGAAUUCCGGGUGUAGCGGUGGAAUGCGUAGAGAUCCGGAAGAACACCAGUGGCGAAGGCGGCCUGCUGGGCAGUGGCUGACGCUGAGGCGCGACAGCGUGGGGAGCAAACAGG
rnacentral:rRNA from 1 species